AGAGGCAAGGCAUAGGGCCCAGGCAGGCCACUCUGUGGAAGAGCUCAAAGGGGAGCCUCGACCCUCCAGUCCAAGAGAGAAAGAAGGCAAUAACCCUAUUCCCAGAAACAGCAGCAGCACAUGUCUUGGGUAUUGGAGGAAGGAAGCCAGAGAAUAGGUCCAGGAUCAGUAGAGCAAAAGGGAAUGGAGAAGCUGUGAGGCGGUGUUGCUUGCUUAGCCUGCGCGUUAUAUGAAAGAGGUUGGAAAAUGAGUGUAAGAAGCUACAAAAGGGAGUUACCUUUCUUUUGCUGUGGUGUGAGUAAGGCAACUUACAGAAGAAGUGAUUUUAUUUUGGAGUUAAAGUUCCGGAAGCUUGGAGUCCUCAUGGCAGAUCACGGCUAGCUGGGGUAGCAGCUGAGAGCUCCCAUCUUGGACACCAAACGGGAAGCGGGAAGCAGAGAGUGAACUUGAACUGGUGCGAAUCCUUUGAAGUCUCAAGUCUGCUCUGGUGACAUACUUCCUCAGGCUGCACUGAUAAUCCGUCCCACAUAGCCACCCACUGAGGAGCAUCUAUCUAUUCAAAUGUCUGAGACUUAUGAGGGACAUCUCAUUCAAAUGGUCACAAAUUUCUUCUAAUUCCCUUAGAAAGGUAUUGUUAUAAAUUACUGUUAUAUAUACUAUAUAUUAUAAACACAUUUUAUAUACUAUUACAGAUGCAUUUUACAUUAUAUAUUCCAAAUGCUAUUAUAAANNNNNNNNNNNNNNNNNNNNNNNNNAAAGUUACUACUAUACAUACUAUAAAUUACAUAUAUUCUAUAUACAGUUUCAAAGUUACUAUUCUAUAGACACACCUAUGCAUACAUAUUUGCAAAUAAAGACAAUAACAACUGCUGGU
ensembl:antisense 2010310C07Rik RIKEN cDNA 2010310C07 gene